CAGCGCGCUGGCCGGGGCAACCGGCGUUUCCGGCGUGGCGGCCUGCUGCGCAAUCUGCGCGGCUUGCCGUUCGGUGUUGGCGGUGCGUUGU
rnacentral:tRNA from 1 species